AUGAGAAUCACUAAACUAGCCAAACAAGUUUUGCUCCUUUUGGCUUUUACCCUUGCUACUCAAGUAAUACAAGGUAUUAGAACACAAGAUUUGGUGUCUCUGAAGUCCUCUCAAACCUUAACAGAACAAAGUGUAAAGGGUAGCAAUGUGGCAAUGAGAACGAGGAAUUCUAGGAGAUUGAUGAUUGGAUCCAUAACACCAACCUGCACUUACAAUGAAUGUAGAGGAUGUAAGAACAAGUGUAUGGCUGAGCAGGUACCUGUAGUGGGAAAUGAUCCAGUGAAUAGCCCAUAUCACUACAGAUGUGUUUGUCAUAGAGGAUAG